AAAAUAUCAGCCUUAUGUACCAGCCUGAAGAAAUCUUCUCGAGCUAAAUAUGCUAAAAGCAGACCACUAGUGGCCACUGAAAAGAAAAAGUACAACCCUCUUGAAAUUGAGGAGUCCAACACCGCCAUACUUGACAAUUUGAGCAUUGCACUUCGUGGUGUUGUCCCCGAGGCCUGUUUAUUCAAAGGUUUACCUCGGACUGGUGAUGUUCCAACUUCAGCUCAGGAAGCAGAGGGAGCCGUAGGAUUAAACGAAGAAGAUACAGGCCAUG